GCCAUGCCGCGUGAGUGAUGAAGGCCUUAGGGUCGUAAAGCUCUUUCGCCAGGGAUGAUAAUGAGUACCUGGUAAAGAAACCCCGGCUAACUCCGUGCCAGCAGCCGCGGUAAUACGGAGGGGGUUAGCGUUGUUCGGAAUUACUGGGCGUAAAGCGCGCGUAGGCGGAUUGGAAAGUUGGGGGUGAAAUCCCAGGGCUCAACCCUGGAACUGCCUCCAAAACUCCCAGUCUUGAGUUCGAGAGAGGUGAGUGGAAUUCCGAGUGUAGAGGUGAAAUUCGUAGAUAUUCGGAGGAACACCAGUGGCGAAGGCGGCUCACUGGCUCGAUACUGACGCUGAGGUGCGAAAGUGUGGGGAGCAAACAGGAUUAGAUACCCUGGUAGUCCACACCGUAAACGAUGAAUGCCAGUCGUCGGAUAGCAUGCUAUUCGGUGACACACCUAACGGAUUAAGCAUUCCGCCUGGGGAGUACGGUCGCAAGAUUAAAACUCAAA
rnacentral:rRNA from 1 species